rnacentral:rRNA from 1 species
UACAGAGGGUGCGAGCGUUAAUCGGAAUUACUGGGCGUAAAGCGCGCGUAGGCGGCUUUGCAAGUCGGGUGUGAAAUCCCCAGGCUUAACCUGGGAACUGCAUUCGAGACUGCAUUGCUAGAGUAUGGGAGAGGGAAGUGGAAUUUCCGGUGUAGCGGUGAAAUGCGUAGAGAUCCGGAGGAACACCAGAGGCGAAGGCGGCAACCUGGCACGUUACUGACGCUCAUACACGACAGCAUGGGGAGCGAACGGG